GGAAGCGUAGUGGAGUAGUGGUAACACGCUCGCCUCGCAUGUCAGAUGUCCGGAGUUCAAAUCCCGGCACGACCA
rnacentral:tRNA from 1 species